rnacentral:rRNA from 1 species
UACGGGGGGGGCAAGCGUUGUUCGGAAUUACUGGGCGUAAAGGGCGCGUAGGCGGCCUUCUAAGUCAGACGUGAAAUCCCUCGGCUCAACCGAGGAACUGCGUCUGAUACUGGAAGGCUUGAAUCCGGGAGAGGGAUGUGGAAUUCCAGGUGUAGCGGUGAAAUGCGUAGAUAUCGUAAGGAAGACCAGUGGCGAAGGCGGGUCUCUGGACAGUUCCUGACACUGAGACACGAAGGCCAGGGGAGCAAACGGG